UGUCGCAAUUUUCCUAAUAAAAUUACCACACCCCUAAUCUCUCGCAAGCCUCAAAUUGAAUCGCUCCACUUCUCACACUCACCCACGCAAUCACACGCAAACACAACGAAUCGACGACUUUGAACCGAUGUUUCAGAAAUUUUAUCACAUGCGAUGGUGGUUUAGAAGCUGAAUUCGGAGCUGUUGAGGUGUAUGUCAACGACUUGUGAAACUGCUUUUGUAUGUCCUUAUACUUCCAAGCCGAAUUCGAUCAGUUGUGCGGCUAGGGCGGCAUAGCUAACUUCUCUGGCGACACAUAUUGGUAGCUCUCGGUGUUUUCCCUCAUUUUUCUGUACCCACAGGUUGAUAUCCUCAAACAGUACCGCCAUAUAAGCCUUUGUUGCCUCUUGAAGUGCCAACACAACAUGGCUCUGGAAACACAGAUCAAUCUUAAAGUUAUAUGCUAUUUCACGAACAAGCCUUUGGAAUGAAAGCUUCCUGAUCAAGAGCUUAGUACUCUUCUGAUGUUUGUGAAUUUCACAAGUAGCAACAGUACCAGGGCGAUAACGGUGGGGCUUUUGGUUUUGAUAUAUUGUCUUGUGAUAGUAAAUAAUAUAUUUUGGUAGAUAUUCAUGAAGAUUAUAUAUAUAAUUGAAAUCAAUUAAAAAAAAUAGUCAGUCAAAAUCUAUACAAAAUCUAUAGAUUUUUUCGUAUUAUUUCUA